rnacentral:rRNA from 1 species
UACGUAGGGUGCAAGCGUUAAUCGGAAUUACUGGGCGUAAAGCGUGCACAGGCGGUUUUGUAAGCCAGAUGUGAAAUCCCCGGGCUUAACCUGGGAAUGGCAUUUGGGACUGCAAGGCUUGAGUUUGGCAGAGGAGACUGGAAUUCCUGGUGUAGCAGUGAAAUGCGUAGAUAUCAGGAGGAAUACCGAUGGCGAAGGCAGGUCUCUGGGCUAGAACUGACGCUCAUGCACGAAAGCGUGGGGAGCAAACAGG